AACGAACGCUGGCGGCAGGCUUAACACAUGCAAGUCGAGCGCCUCGCACGAGGCGCGGCGGACGGGUGAGUAACGCGUGGGAACGUACCCUUAUCUUCUGGAUAGCUCUGGGAAACUGGAAGUAUUACCGAAUGUGCCCUUAGGGGGAAAAAUUUAUCGGAUAAGGAUCGGCCCGCGUGGGAUUAGCGAGUGGGAGGGGGAAAGGCCUACAAAGGCGCCGAUCAAUAGCGGUUCUGGGAGGAGGACCAGCAACAUUGGGACUGAGACACGCCCCAAACUCCUACGGGAGGCAGCAGGGGGGAAAAUGGGCCAAGGGGCGAAGGCCGGACCCGGCCAGGCCGGGGGAGUGAUGAAGGCUUUAGGGUGGUAAGGCUCUUUCACCGGAGAAGAUAAGGACGGAAUCCGGGGAAGAAGCCCCGGCUACCUUCUU
rnacentral:rRNA from 1 species